rnacentral:rRNA from 1 species
UACGAAGGGGGCUAGCGUUGUUCGGAAUUACUGGGCGUAAAGCGCACGUAGGCGGACUAUUAAGUCAGGGGUGAAAUCCCGGGGCUCAACCCCGGAACUGCCUUUGAUACUGCUAGUCUCGAGUCCGGAAGAGGUGAGUGGAAUUCCGAGUGUAGAGGUGAAAUUCGUAGAUAUUCGGAGGAACACCAGUGGCGAAGGCGGCUCACUGGUCCGGUACUGACGCUGAGGCGCGAAAGCUAGGGGAGCAAACGGG